rnacentral:rRNA from 1 species
UACGGAGGGUGCGAGCGUUAAUCGGAAUAACUGGGCGUAAAGGGCACGCAGGCGGUGACUUAAGUGAGGUGUGAAAGCCCCGGGCUUAACCUGGGAAUUGCAUUUCAUACUGGGUCGCUAGAGUACUUUAGGGAGGGGUAGAAUUCCACGUGUAGCGGUGAAAUGCGUAGAGAUGUGGAGGAAUACCGAAGGCGAAGGCAGCCCCUUGGAAUGUACUGACGCUCAUGUGCGAAACGUGGGGAAAACAGGAUUAAGAUACCCCGUAGUCC